CUACGGGAGGCAGCAGUGGGGAAUCUUAGACAAUGGGGGCAACCCUGAUCUAGCCAUGCCGCGUGAGUGAUGAAGGCCCUAGGGUCGUAAAGCUCUUUCGCCUGUGAUGAUAAUGACAGUAGCAGGUAAAGAAACCCCGGCUAACUCCGUGCCAGCAGCCGCGGUAAUACGGAGGGGGUUAGCGUUGUUCGGAAUUACUGGGCGUAAAGCGCACGUAGGCGGAUUGGAAAGUUGGGGGUGAAAUCCCGGGGCUCAACCCCGGAACUGCCCUCAAAACUAUCAGUCUAGAGUUCGAGAGAGGUGAGUGGAAUUCCGAGUGUAGAGGUGAAAUUCGUAGAUAUUCGGAGGAACACCAGUGGCGAAGGCGGCUCACUGGCUCGAUACUGACGCUGAGGUGCGAAAGUGUGGGGAGCAAACAGGAUUAGAUACCCUGGUAGUCCACACCGUAAACGAUGAAUGCCAGUCGUCGGGUAGUAUACUGCUCGGUGACACACCUAACGGAUUAAGCAUUCCGCCUGGGGAGUACGGUCGCAAGAUUAAAACUUAAAGGAAUUGACGGA
rnacentral:rRNA from 1 species